AACGACUCUCGGCAACGGAUAUCUCGGCUCACGCAUCGAUGAAGAACGUAGCGAAAUGCGAUACUUGGUGUGAAUUGCAGAAUCCCGUGAACCAUCGAGUCUUUGAACGCAAGUUGCGCCCGAAGCCUUCCGGCCGAGGGCACGUCUGCCUGGGCGUCACGC
rnacentral:rRNA from 1 species